UGCCAGACUCCUACGGGAGGCAGCAGUGAGGAAUAUUGGUCAAUGGUCGGGAGACUGAACCAGCCAAGCCGCGUGAGGGAUGAAGGUACAGAGUAUCGUAAACCUCUUUUGUCAGGGAACAAAGGCGGGGACGCGUCCCCGGAUGAGUGUACCUGAAGAAAAAGCAUCGGCUAACUCCGUGCCAGCAGCCGCGGUAAUACGGAGGAUGCGAGCGUUAUCCGGAUUUAUUGGGUUUAAAGGGUGCGUAGGCGGGAUGCCAAGUCAGCGGUAAAAAUGCGGUGCUCAACGCCGUCGAGCCGUUGAAACUGGCGUUCUUGAGUGGGCGAGAAGUAUGCGGAAUGCGUGGUGUAGCGGUGAAAUGCAUAGAUAUCACGCAGAACUCCGAUUGCGAAGGCAGCAUACCGGCGCCCUACUGACGCUGAGGCACGAAAGCGUGGGUAUCGAACAGGAUUAGAUACCCGAGUACG
rnacentral:rRNA from 1 species